CCACUUAACUUCAAUUUGGAUGAUGACCUAAACAAUCUCACAUUAACAUUGAAUCCAAAUGCAUGGACACAGAUGGCUAAUAUCAUAUUUGUGGAUAUACCUACUGGUACCGGCUUUUCCUAUUCAGAAACCAAAGAAGGAUGGAUUAGCAGUGAUAGUAUUCUAGCCAUCCAAGCUGUGGACUUCAUUAAAAAAGUUUCUGAGUGAUCGUCCCAAAUUUUUGAGGAAUCCAUUAUACAUAGCUGGAAUUUCUUACAUUGGCAUUAUCGUUCCCAAAAUCACUCUAGAAUUAUAU
rnacentral:lncRNA from 1 species